rfam:Hafnia alvei FB1, complete genome.
UGUCUUUUGUCUUUUCCCUUUUUUAUGUUUAAAGAAUGCAUUUUAGAGCCGCCAGCAGGGAUGCUGGCGGCAGGUUGAGGGCGUACAGGAUGUACGCUCCGAAACCGGUCGGUCAAACAACUCGGUAAAAAGCGCGAGAGUCGAGAGGUU